rnacentral:rRNA from 1 species
CCUACGGGAGGCAGCAGUGGGGAAUAUUGCUCAAUGGCCGGAACCCUGAUGCAGCGAUGCCGCGUGGGUGUGGAAGUCCUUCGGUAUGUAAAGCCCUAUCAGCAGGGAAGAAAAUUGCGGUACCUGCCUAAGACGACCCGGCUAUCUACGUUCCAGCAGCCGCGGUACUACGUAGGGGGCAAGCGUUAUCCGGAUUUACUGGGUGUAACGGGAGCGUAGACGGGGAGCAAAGUCGUCCGUGAAAGGCCGGGGCUCAACCCCGGGACUGCAUUGGAAACUGGCAUGCUGGAGUGCAGGAGGGGCGAGCGGAAUUCGUGGUGUAGCGGUGAAAGGCGUAGAUAUUAGGCGGAACACCGGUGGCGAAGGCGGCUUGCGGGACCGGAACUGACGUUGAUGCUCGAAAGCGUGGGGAGCAAACAGGAUUAGAUACCCUAGUAGUC